rnacentral:rRNA from 1 species
UGAAUACGAGAUGCUACGGCGUCGAAGCAGUGUAUGUCAGACUUCCAAGAAAAGCUCGCAAUGUCAUAAAUAAAGAAUGCCUGUACCAUAACCGACACAGGUGGGUAGGUAGAGUAUACUAAGGGGCGCGAGAUAACUCUCUCUAAGGAACUCGGCAAAAUAACUCCGUAACUUCGGGAGAAGGAGUGCCUUCUAUUAGAAGGUUGCAAUAACAAGAUCCAAGCAACUGUUUAUCAAAAACACAGGUCUCCGCUAAGUCGUAAGACGAUGUAUGGGGGCUGACGCCUGCCCAGUGCCAGAAGGUUAAAGAAGUUGGUUAGCUUUGGCGAAGCUGAUGACUGAAGCCCUGGUGAACGGUGGCCGUAACGAUAACGGUCCUAAGGUAGCGAAAUUCCUUGUCGGGUAAGUUCCGACCCGCACGAAAGGCGUAAUGAUUUGGAUACUGUCUCGGAGAGGGACUCGGUGAAAUAGACUUGUCUGUGAAGAUGCGGACUACCUGCACCAGGACAGAAAGACCCUAUGAAGCUUUACUGUAACUUGAAAUUGAAAUUGGACUUUAUUUGCGCAGCAUAGGUGGAAGGCGUUGAGAUUACUCUUGCGGGAGUACUGGAGCCAUCAGUGAGAUACCACUCCUAUAAUGUUAGAUUUCUAACUUUGGAUCAUGAUCUGGUCAAAGAACAGUUUCAGGCGGGCAGUUUGACUGGGGCGGUCGCCUCCCAAAUGGUAACGGAGGCGUACAAAGGUUUCCUCUGAACGGGUAGAAAUCGUAUCUAGAGUGUAAAGGCAUAAGGAAGCUUGACUGUGAGACCUACAAGUCGAGCAGGGACGAAAGUCGGUCUUAGUGAUCUGACGGUGCUGAGUGGAAAGGCCGUCACUCAACGGAUAAAAGUUACUCUAGGAUAACAGGCUGAUCUCCCCCAAGAGUUCACAUCGACGGGGAGGUUUGGCACCUCGAUGUCGGCUCAUCGCAUCCUGGGGCGGUAGUACGUCCCAAGGGUUGGGCUGUUCGCCCAUGAAAGCGGUACGCGAGCUGGGUUCAGAACGUCGUGAGACAGUUCGGUCCAUAUCCGGUGUAGGCGUUAGAAUAUUGAGAGGAGCCUUCUUUAGUACGAGAGGACCGAGAAGGACAUACCUCUGGUGUACCAGUUAUCGUGCCAACGGUAAACGCUGGGUAGCUAUGUAUGGAGAGGAUAACCGCUGAAAGCAUCUAAGUGGGAAGCCCACCUCAAGAUGAG